GGUUAAUAGCUCAAAUGGUAGAGCGCAUGCUUAGCAUGCACGAGGUCCUGGGUUCAAUCCCCAGGACCU
rnacentral:tRNA from 1 species